AUUGCCCAAGUCGUUCCUCCGGUGCUGUUACUUUGAAGAAAUUAGAGUGCUCAAAGCAGGCCUAUGCUUGUAUACAUUAGCAUGGGAUAACAUCAUAGGAUUUUAGUCCUAUUGUGCUGGCCUUUGGGAUCGGAGUAAUUAUUAACAGGGACAGUCGGGGGCAUUCGUAUUUCAUAGUCAGAGGUGAAAUUGUUAGAUUUAUGAAAGAUGAACAAUUGCGAAAGCAGUUGCCAAGGAUGUUUUCAUUAAUCAAGAACAAAAGUUAGGGGCUCGAAGACGAUCAGAUACUGUCCUAGUCUCAACCAUAAAUGAUGCUGACUAGGGAUCGGUGGAUGUUAGUUUUAGGACUCCGUCGACACCUUAUGAGAAAUCAAAGUCUUUGGGUUCCGGGGGGAGUAUGGUCGCAAGGAGAAAACUUAAAGGAAUUGACGGAAGGGCACCACCAGGAGUGGAGCUUGCGACUUAAUUUGACUCAACACGGGGAAACUUACCAGGUCCAGACAUAGUAAGGAUUGAUAGACUGAGAACUCUUUCUUGAUUCUAUGGGUGGUGGUGCAUGUCCGUUCUUAGUUGGUGGAGCAAUUUGUCUGGUUAAUUCCGUUAACGAAUGAGUCCUCAGCCUGCUAACUAGCUACGUGGAGGUGAUCCUUCGUGGCUAGCUUCUUAGAGGGACUAUGGCCGCUUAGGCCAAGGAAGUUUGAGAUCGGAAGAGCCCA